rnacentral:rRNA from 1 species
AUUGAACGCUGGCGGCAUGCCUAACACAUGCAAGUCGAGCGAUCGGCGGACGGGUGAGUAAUGUAUGGGGACUGCCCGAUAGAGGGGGAGAACUACUGGAAACGGUAGCUAAUACCGCAUACUAUCGGAUAACCCAUAUGGGAUUAGCUAGUAGGUGAGGUAAUGGCUCACCUAGGCGACGGUCCCUACCUGGACGGAGAGGAUGAUCAGCCACACUGGACGUGGGAACCGGCCCGACCUCCUCCGGAGGCAGCAGUGGGGAACAUUGCACAAUGGGGACAAGCCGGAUGCGCACAUGCCGCGUGUAUGAAGAAGGCUCCAGGGUUGUAAAGUAUUUUCAGUCGGGAGGCGUUACCGAAAGAAAAAGCAACGGCUAACUCCGUGCCAGCAGCCGCGGUAAUAC